GACGAACGCUGGCGGCGUGCUUAACACAUGCAAGUCGAACGAUGAAGCCCAGCUUGCUGGGUGGAUUAGUGGCGAACGGGUGAGUAACACGUGGGCAACCUGCCCCAAACUCUGGGAUAACUCCUCGAAAGAGGUGCUAAUACCGGAUACGAACUAGGUAGACAUCUGCACUAGUUGGAAAGUUUUUCGGUUUGGGAUGGGCCCGCGGCCUAUCAGCUUGUUGGUGAGGUAACGGCUCACCAAGGCUACGACGGGUAACCGGCCUGAGAGGGCGACCGGUCACACUGGGACUGAGACACGGCCCAGACUCCUACGGGAGGCAGCAGUGGGGGAUAUUGCGCGAUGGGCGAAAGCCUGACGCAGCGACGCCGCGUGAGGGAUGAAGGUCUUCGGAUCGUAAACCUCUUUCAGUAGGGACGAAGCGAAAGUGACGGUACCUAAAGAAGAAGCACCGGCUAACUACGUGCCAGCCGCCGCCGUAA
rnacentral:rRNA from 1 species